AUUAAUAUAAAUAUAAAUUUUCACUUUAAAAUUUAAAAUUUUUUAAAAAUUAUAUAUUUAAAUUUUAAAAUUAAUAUUUAUUUUUAAAAAUUUAAAAUUUAAAAUUUAAAAUUAUUAUUUUUAAUUAUUUAAAUUUUAAAUUUGAUAUUUUAUAUUUGUAACUUUAAAUUUUUUAAUUUGAGAUUUGAAAAUAUAGAUUUUAAUUUUAAAUUUUAAAUUAUUAUUUUUAAUUAUUUAAAUUUUAAAUUUAAAUUCAAAUAUAAAAAUUAGUGCAAAAUCAUUAUUUUCUAUUUAUAAUAACCUAUUAUCUUUCUUAAUCCAUUUACUCCAACCAAACACUUUUUAUUUAUAUCUGAACUAAAUCUAAUUCUCAACCAAACAAAAAAUUACUCUAAACCCAAUUCUCAAUCAAACAAAAAAUUACUCUAAACCCACCUUAACCCUGAACUUAACCCCUACCCCUGAAAUAACUAAUUUUUACUUAACCCCGAACCAAACGAAACCUAGUGCUUUAUAUUCUAACUUAUAUGUAGAGAGAGAGAGAGAGAGAGAGAGAGAGAGAGUUACGCUGCUAUACAAUUGAUAGCAUCAAGCGCUCAGUGCUAUCGAGUUUUUUCUUAUAAGAUCUAUCAAUUUGAUCAUUUUCAUUCGUUAGAUCAUAUUAUUCAACCAACCACCCACUCAACCCUAAGGGACCACUAUCAUUCUAUCCACACAUCCUUUCAUCCGAGAAUCGAAAACCUAAUAGUACCAAUAACUUUAAUAUUUGUAGGAAGUCAUUCAAAUUUGACCGUUUAUUUUAUGCAUGCUUGCUGAACUUUAAUAUAAUUUCAAAAAUUUAUAAAAUUUAUUUUUUAUAAAUUUCAAAUAAUUUAUAUUAUAUUUAACGGUAUGAAUUGUCAAUUCGAAAAUUCCAUCAUAAAAACUAAUUUAGUUGAGCCAGAAUGCUAUUAGUAGUAAAUGAGCUUCGUUGACAUAUAUUUAUUUUCAAUGAUGGAGCCUUCAAAUUUACGAUCGGUUGGAAUAUCUAAAAAUUAAAUUUUAUACUUUUUCGAUAUUAUUCUCUUAUCAGUUAAAUGGCUAAUAUAGUAUAUAUAUAUUUUUUUAGAGAGAAAGAGG
rnacentral:lncRNA from 1 species